UACGGAGGAUGCGAGCGUUAUCCGGAUUUAUUGGGUUUAAAGGGUGCGUAGGCGGGAUGCCAAGUCAGCGGUAAAAAUGCGGUGCUCAACGCCGUCGAGCCGUUGAAACUGGCGUUCUUGAGUGGGCGAGAAGUAUGCGGAAUGCGUGGUGUAGCGGUGAAAUGCAUAGAUAUCACGCAGAACCCCGAUUGCGAAGGCAGCCUUCCGGCGCCCUACUGACGCUGAGGCACGAAAGUGCGGGGAUCGAACAGG
rnacentral:rRNA from 1 species